CAAGGCUUGACAUGCAUCGGAAGCAUCCAGAGAUGGGUGUGCUCUUUGAGUCGGUGUACAGGUGGUGCAUGGCUGUCGUCAGCUCGUGUCGUGAGAUGUUGGGUUAAGUCCCGCAACGAGCGCAACCCUUGUCCUGUGUUGCCAGCGGAGCCUUCGGGCUGCCGGGGACUCACGGGAGACUGCCGGGGUCAACUCGGAGGAAGGUGGGGACGACGUCAAGUCAUCAUGCCCCUUAUGUCUUGGGCUGCACACGUGCUACAAUGGCCGGUACAAUGAGCUGCGAUACCGUGAGGUGGAGCGAAUCUCAAAAAGCCGGUCUCAGUUCGGAUUGGGGUCUGCAACUCGACCCCAUGAAGUCGGAGUCGCUAGUAAUCGCAGAUCAGCAUUGCUGCGGU
rnacentral:rRNA from 1 species